rnacentral:rRNA from 1 species
CGGACGGGUGAGUAACGCGUGGAAAACCUGCCGUAUACUGGGGGAUAACAUUUAGGAAAUAGGUGCUAAUACCGCAUAAGCGCACAGCUUCGCAUGAAGCGGUGUGAAAAACUCUGGUGGUAUACGAUGGUUCCGCGUCUGAUUAGCUAGUUGGUGGGGUAAUGGCCUACCAAGGCAACGAUCAGUAGCCGGCCUGAGAGGGUGAACGGCCACCAUUGGGACUGAGACACGGCCCAAACUCCUACGGGAGGCAGCAG